GGCCAUUAGGAAGAAACAACAACACUGUGAAGAUACUAAUCUCUCUCCUUCCUGAGAGGCAUCCUGGGAUGUAGCUAUGACACUACCAGGUCAGGUGGUCUUGCCACCUAAUGCAAAAUACCACCUUGGACACUGCUGAUUCUCCAACACUGCCUACCCAAGAAGAAAAGCUGCUGAAAGUUCCUGGAGGGACAAAGGAACUAACCUGAGGGGAAAGGCAGGGGUGAGUCCAGACUGAGACAGGGGUCCAGACUGUAAGAAGAAAUAAUUGGAACUCUAAGCUACAGAAACUCUGCAACUUGCCUAAAAUAACAUUUAGGGUAGAAGAGCUCUGAUUAUAUCCUGCCUGAUCCUUACUCACCCUGCAGGCAAGCUUGUAGCAGCAGCAGUGUAAAGGGUAGGGCCAGUAUAUUAUUACAGGGGGCUCUUGGGUGUGCACCUCCUCUACCAGUAACCUCCCAGUCUUCCCUUAUCCAAGUGAAUGGCAUUGCCACGGAGCCUACAUGAGUGUAGCUGGGAGAAUUGGUAUUACCGUCAGACUGCAAAUAUCCUCCUCUGCUGUGUGCUUCAUUUGCACAAAGUUCUCCAUCUCUCUCUGGUGAGCUCGCAGCGCAUUUUCAAGAUGUUUCUAAGAAGGAAAAAUA